rnacentral:rRNA from 1 species
UACAGAGGGGGCGAGCGUUGUUCGGAAUUACUGGGCGUAAAGGGCGCGUAGGCGGCCUUCUAAGUCGAACGUGAAAUCCCCGGGCUCAACCCGGGAACUGCGUCCGAUACUGGGAGGCUUGAAUCCGGGAGAGGGAUGUGGAAUUCCAGGUGUAGCGGUGAAAUGCGUAGAUAUCUGGAGGAACACCAGUAGCGAAGGCGGCACUCUGGGCCGGUACUGACGCUGAGGAGCGAAAGCGUGGGGAGCAAACAGG